rnacentral:rRNA from 1 species
UACGUAGGGAGCAAGCGUUGUUCGGAUUUACUGGGCGUAAAGGGCGCGUAGGCGGCAUAUUAAGUCAUCUGUGAAAUCUCCGAGCUUAACUCGGAACUGUCAGCUGAUACUGAUGUGCUAGAGUGCGGAAGGGGCAAUCGGAAUUCUUGGUGUAGCGGUGAAAUGCGUAGAUAUCAAGAGGAACACCAAUGGCGAAGGCAGCUCGCUGGGACGUGACUGACGCUGAGACGCGAAAGCGUGGGGAGCAAACAGG